AUUGAACGCUGGCGGCAGGCCUAACACAUGCAAGUCGAGCGGAUCGGCGGACGGGUGAGUAAUGCCUAUGAAUCUGCCUCGUAGUGGGGGAUAACGUCCGGUAACGGGCGCUAAUACCGCAUACUAUCAGAUGAGCCUAUGGCCGAUUAGCUAGUUGGUGGGGUAAAGGCCUACCAAGGCGACGAUCCGUAACUGGUCUGAGAGGAUGAUCAGUCACCCUGGAACUGAGACACGGUCCAGACUCCUACGGGAGGCAGUAGUGGGGAAUAUUGGACAAUGGGCGAAAGCCGGAUCCAGCCAUGCCGAGUGUGUGAAGAAGGUCUUCGGAUUGUAAAGCACUUUAAGUUAGGAGGCGUUACCAACAGAAUAAGCACCGGCUAACUUCGUGACAGCAGCCGCGGUAAUUC
rnacentral:rRNA from 1 species